rnacentral:rRNA from 1 species
ACCCGCUGAACUUAAGCAUAUCAAUAAGCGGAGGAAAAGAAACCAACAGGGAUUGCCUCAGUAACGGCGAGUGAAGCGGCAAAAGCUCAAAUUUGAAAUCUGGCUCUUUCAGGGUCCGAGUUGUAAUUUGUAGAAAAUGCUUUGGGUGUUGCUCCGGUUUAAGUUCUUUGGAAUAUUACAUCACAGAGGGUGAGAAUCCCGUAUGUGACCGGUUGCCUCGCCCGUGUAAAGCUCUUUCGACGAGUCGAGUUGUUUGGGAAUGCAGCUCUAAAUGGGUGGUAUAUUUCAUCUAAAGCUAAAUACUGGCCAGAGACCGAUAGCGCACAAGUAGAGUGAUCGAAAGGUGAAAAGAACUUUGAAAAGAGAGUUAAACAGUACGUGAAAUUGUUGAAGGGGAAGCGCUUGCAACCAGACUUGGACUUAGUUGAUCACCCGGUGUUCUCACCGGGGCACUCUGCUAUGUACAGGCCAGCAUCGGUUUUGGUGGUUGGAUAAAGACUAUGGGAAUGUGGCUCUUCCGGGAGUGUUAUAGCCCAUGGUGCAAUGCAACCUACCGAGACCGAGGACCGCGCUUCGGCUAGGAUGCUGGCGUAAUGGUUGUAAGCGGCCCGUCUUGAAACACGGACCAAGGAG